UACGUAGGUGACAAGCGUUGUCCGGAUUUACUGGGCGUAAAGAGCGCGCAGGCGGUCGUCCAAGUCGCGUGUGAAAGCCCCCCGGCUCAACUGGGGAGGGUCACGCGAUACUGGUCGACUCGAAGGCAGGAGAGGGUAGUGGAAUUCCCGGUGUAGUGGUGAAAUGCGUAGAUAUCGGGAGGAACACCGGUGGCGAAGGCGGUUCUCUGGGCAUUACCUGACGCUGAGGAGCGAAAGUGUGGGGGAGCGAACAGG
rnacentral:rRNA from 1 species